CCUUAUUGCUCUCUACAGCUAUCUGAAAGGAAGUAGUGGGGAGCUGGGGGUAAGCCUCUUCUUGCAGAUAACUAGUGAUAGGACUGGAGGGAAUGGCCUCAAGUUGUGCCAGGAGAGGUUCAAGUUGGAAAUUAAGAGACAUUUCUUCGCAGAAGGAGUAGUCAGGCAUUGGAAUGGGUUGCCCAGGGAAGUGGUGGAGUCACCAUCCCUGGGGGUGUUUAAGGAAAGGUUGGAAUUUGUGCUUAGGGACAUUUAGCUGAACAGACCC